GAUCUCAAUGAAUGUGAAUCGAGUCCUUGUGGUCCCAACGGCGUCUGCUCCAACAGCCCUGGAAGUUUCAGCUGCAACUGCAGUGCAGGAUACGCUUUCAGUGGGGGAUCUUGUGUGGACAUCGAUGAAUGUUUGAGCAAUCCAUGUCCAAAUGUCUCCGUGUGCACGAACACUCCUGGAAGUUAGCUGUGUCAGUGCCCUCCUGGUUACAACUUAACCUCAGGAGCUUGUGUUGAUAUCGAUGAUUGUGUUUCUGCCACUUGCCCUCAGCACAAAUUUUGUAGUGAUAAACUCCUGGGUUAUGAUUGUACUUUCUACGCUUGUGCUGAGAAAUGCCAAUAUCGCUCAAUUUUCAUAGAGGAACUUGGAACUUGUUAUAAGCUCAUUACUGGAGUGAUGACCCUCGAGGAGGCAAUACAACGUUGUACACGAGACUUCGUUAACAUGCAUUAUGUAAACCGUGACGAAGAAUUUCCAAUAUUGGCUUCCCAUUUACUGUCUGGCAUUUCGGAUUGGGCCUGGGUUGCACGUGGCAGGGCAUACAGUGGCUCUAUUAAUGGUUCCUGCCUUGGUAUGAGAUCGACCCCUAAGUCGCCUGAGGCUAUGAGUCUGCCCUGUGAUUC